UUAUAAGAGACAGCAGCCGCCACGGUAAUACGGAGGGUGCAAGCGUUAAUCGGAAUUACUGGGCGUAAAGCGCACGCAGGCGGUCUGACAAGUCAGAUGUGAAAUCCCCGGGCUUAACCUGGGAACUGCAUUUGAAACUGUCAGGCUGGAGUCUUGUAGAGGGGGGUGGAAUUCCAGGUGUAGCGGUGAAAUGCGUAGAGAUCUGGAGGAAUACCGGUGGCGAAGGCGGCCCCCUGGACAAAGACUGACGCUCAGGUGCGAAAGCGUGGGGAGCAAACAGGAUUAGAUACCCCAGUAGUCCCUGUCUCUUAUAC
rnacentral:rRNA from 1 species